CCUACGGGGGGCAGCAGUGGGGGAUAUUGCACAAUGGGGGGAACCCUGAUGCAGCGACGCCGCGUGGGUGAAGAAGCGCCUCGGCGCGUAAAGCCCUGUCAGCAGGGAAGAAAAUGACGGUACCUGAAGAAGAAGCCCCGGCUAACUACGUGCCAGCAGCGGCGGGAAUACGUAGGGGGCAAGCGUUAUCCGGAUUUACUGGGUGUAAAGGGGGCGCAGACGGCGGUGCAAGCCAGGAGUGAAAGCCCGGGGCCCAACCCCGGGACUGCUCUUGGAACUGUGUGGCUGGAGUGUAGUAGGGGCAGGCGGAAUUCCUGGUGUAGCGGUGAAAUGCGUAGAUAUCAGGAGGAACACCGGUGGCGAAGGCGGCCUGCUGGACUGCAACUGACGUUGAGGCCCGAAAGCGUGGGGAGCAAACAGGAUUAGAUACCCGAGUAGUC
rnacentral:rRNA from 1 species